GAUGAACGCUGACAGAAUGCUUAACACAUGCAAGUCAACUUGAAUUUGGGUUUUUAACUUAGAUUUGGGUGGCGGACGGGUGAGUAACGCGUAAAGAACUUGCCUCACAGCUAGGGACAACAUUUAGAAAUGAAUGCUAAUACCUGAUAUUAUGAUUUUAAGGCAUCUUAGAAUUAUGAAAGCUAUAAGCACUGUGAGAGAGCUUUGCGUCCCAUUAGCUAGUUGGAGAGGUAACAGCUCACCAAGGCGAUGAUGGGUAGCCGGCCUGAGAGGGUGAACGGCCACAAGGGGACUGAGACACGGCCCUUACUCCUACGGGAGGCAGCAGUGGGGAAUAUUGGACAAUGGACCGAGAGUCUGAUCCAGCAAUUCUGUGUGCACGAUGAAGUUUUUCGGAAUGUAAAGUGCUUUCAGUUGGGAAGAAAAAAAUGACGGUACCAACAGAAGAAGUGACGGCUAAAUACGUGCCAGCAGCCGCGGUAAUACGUAUGUCACGAGCGUUAUCCGGAUUUAUUGGGCGUAAAGCGCGUCUAGGUGGUUAUGUAAGUCUGAUGUGAAAAUGCAGAGCUCAACUCUGUAUUGCGUUGGAAACUGUAUAACUAGAGUACUGGAGAGGUAAGCGGAACUACAAGUGUAGAGGUGAAAUUCGUAGAUAUUUGUAGGAAUGCCGAUGGGGAAGCCAGCUUACUGGACAGAUACUGACGCUAAAGCGCGAAAGCGUGGGUAGCAAACAGG
rnacentral:rRNA from 1 species